rnacentral:rRNA from 1 species
GAUGAACGCUGGCGGCGUGCCUAAUACAUGCAAGUCGAGCGAACGGACGAGAAGCUUGCUUCUCUGAUGUUAGCGGCGGACGGGUGAGUAACACGUGGAUAACCUACCUAUAAGACUGGGAUAACUUCGGGAAACCGGAGCUAAUACCGGAUAAUAUUUUGAACCGCAUGGUUCAAAAGUGAAAGACGGUCUUGCUGUCACUUAUAGAUGGAUCCGCGCUGCAUUAGCUAGUUGGUAAGGUAACGGCUUACCAAGGCAACGAUGCAUAGCCGACCUGAGAGAGUCAUCGGCCACACUGGAACUGAGACACAGUCCAGACUCCUACGGGAGGCAGCACUAGAGAAUCUACCGCAACGGGAGCAAGCCUGACGGGACAACGCCGCGUAGCUGAUGAAGGUCUUCGAAUCGUAAAACUCUGUUAUUAAGGAAGAACAUAUGUGUAAGUAACUGUGCACAUCUUGACGGUACCUAAUCAGAAAGCCACGGCUAACUACGUG